CGGCAAGAGCUCAAAUUUGAAAUCUGGCCCCUCUGGGGUCCGAGUUGUAAUUUGCAGAGGAUGCUUCGGGUGCGGUCCCCGUCUAAGUGCCCUGGAACGGGCCGUCAUAGAGGGUGAGAAUCCCGUCU
rnacentral:rRNA from 1 species